AUGGAGUCUUGGAUACAAGGAAACUUAUCCUUAAAGGUCUGGAAAACUAGAAAUGAUACUGUUUUUAGAGGAGUUGUUCCUAAUCCUCUAUCAACUACCUUAGCAGCAGCUGCAAUGAUUUCAGGUCAGAAUAAUCUUAGCGAAAGAAUUACUGAGGUGUAUUCUCAAAACCAUUGUACCACUAUCAAGUGGCAAACACCUCCUAAUUCUUUUGUUAAGAUUAACUUUGAUGGAUUAGUCACAAGUAGUUCAGCGGCUUGUGGCUUUAUAAUUCGAGAUGACAAUGGAAGACCAGUUUCUGCUGCCUCUUGUCGCAUUGGAAAUGCUUCAGUCCCAAUUGCUGAAGCUAUGGCGUUAAGAGACAGCUUAAUCAAAGCAAAGGAGAAAGGCUUCACCAAUGUUGAAAUUGAAGGAGAUUCCAAGUUGAGACCUUUGUUAAUUGUUCUUAUGGCAACAAGAAGCACGAGCUCAGAAGCUUUGACGACUACUCUGUCGAACUCAAUCCAAGCUCUGGGUCGAGGCUUUGAUGUGACUUCGGAUAUUAGGCUUCUGUAUUGCAAAGGAGCACCUGGGUCAAGGCUUGUGAAUUUGGAUGAGAGUGGGGCUAAAGAUCUUGCUGUUUCUGAUGGGCUUGUGGUGCCAAAUGUGCCUGCACUUAUUGACUGCUCACCUGGGAAGAGAACCAUUGGGAGUCCCUGUCUGUAGCUUCCAUGAGAUGGCAGAAUACUUUAAUAAGAAAUCAGGCUAUCAACCCGGAUUCUCCUGGGAAGCUUCAAUGCCAUGUUUAAUUUCACCGGUUCUUGGCAAGUUGAUGCAGCAUCGACUAAAUCCCUUGCUAUGGUUGGAUACUUUAUUCCCCUAUACAAAGUUAACUUAGAAACAGAAAAUUUGGUUUUGCGUGAUGAAAUCAAGUGUGCUGUUCCAUACUCUUGGGAUCCUGCUGCCUUGGCAAGUUUCAUUGAGAACUUUGGUACACAUAUGGUCAUAUCUGUGACAAUUGGUGGGAGAGAUGUGGUCUAUAUCAGGCAGCACCAGUCAUCUCCUUUAUCAUUAUCGGAUAUUCGGAGUUAUGUGAAAGACAUCGGUGAUGAUAGGUUUCUUGAAUCAAAAGGCCAUUUAAGUGCUGGCCCCUUAAAAUACAAGGACAAGGUUUGUGUCAUAUGCAUUUCUUUUGUGUGUGUGGUCUUACUAAGGAGAUUUAAUUUUCUAGCCUCCACUGUUUUUAACUUUCAUAUAAUCGAUUUAUUGAAUCUAAAAUGUCGCUUCUCCAAUUUGAAGUUACCGUUCGUUGUUCUUACCAUUUACAUAGGUGCACCUAGGUGGCAAGGUCCAGAGGAGCAAGACAGUCGUUGGUUUGAGCCAAUCAAGUGGAAGAACUUCUCGCACGUCAGCACUGCACCAAUAGAGCACGUAGAGAUUUCUAUUGGUGACCUCUCUGGGGUUCACAUUGUCACAGGCACUCAGCUUGGUGUUUGGGAUUUUGGCGCCAAAAAUGUUUUGCACCUCAAACUCCUCUUUUCAAAUGUACCAGGCUGCGCAUUUGACGGUCUGUGUGGGAUCACAGUCCCGCCACCCCUUCUUCUGCACAGAGGCCUGAUGGUUCUUCUUCGUCACAUUCAAAUAACAGAAACUCUGAGGACAAAAAGGAGAAACUAGCAAAGUUAGUAGACUUGACAGAAAUGUCAAAGGGGCCUCAAGAUACUCCUGGAUAUUGGUUAGUCACAGGAGCUAAGCUUGGAGUGGACAAGGGAAAGAUUGUUUUGCGUGUAGAAUACUCCUUGCUAAACUACUGA